CCUACGGGCGGCACCAGUGGGGAAUAUUGCACAAUGGGCGCAAGCCUGAUGCAGCCAUGCCGCGUGUAUGAAGAAGGCCUUCGGGUUGUAAAGUACUUUCAGCGGGGAGGAAGGUGUUGUGGUUAAUAACCACAGCAAUUGACAUUACCCGCAGAAGAAGCACCGGCUAACUCCGUGCCAGCAGCCGCGGUAAUACGGAGGGUGCAAGCGUUAAUCGGAAUUACUGGGCGUAAAGCGCACGCAGGCGGUCUGUCAAGUCGGAUGUGAAAUCCCCGGGCUCAACCUGGGAACUGCAUUCGAAACUGGCAGGCUAGAGUCUUGUAGAGGGGGGUAAAAUUCCAGGUGUAGCGGUGAAAUGCGUAGAGAUCUGGAGGAAUACCGGUGGCGAAGGCGGCCCCCUGGACAAAGACUGACGCUCAGGUGCGAAAGCGUGGGGAGCAAACAGGAUUAGAUACCCGGGUAGUC
rnacentral:rRNA from 1 species